rnacentral:pre_miRNA from 1 species
GAUAUCAAUUGAAAAAGUCAUCAACAACAAAGUUGAAUAACUCGUCAAGAUCUAAAACUUUUAUUUUGAUCAUUUCUUCAUACGACAAAGUGAUAGUAACAUUGUUCACAAAAUUGACAUAUCUCUUAUCUGGUUUUAUAAACUAUAACACAUAUAUGUAAAUUUUGUGAAUAAUAUUACUAACAUUUCGUCGGAUGAAGAAAUAACAAAAAUAAAAGUUUUAGAUCUUGAUGAGUUAUUCAACUUUGUUGUUGAUGACUUUUUCAAUUGAAAUC